CUUGGUUCCGGCAUCGAUGAAGAACGCAGCGAAAUGCGAUAACUAGUGUGAAUUGCAGAAUUCCGUGAAUCAUCGAGUCUUUGAACGCACAUUGCGCCCCCUGGUAUUCCGGGGGGCAUGCCUGUCCGAGCGUCAUUGCUGCCCAUCAAGCACGGCUU
rnacentral:rRNA from 1 species